CUUUUCAUUCCCGUUGUUAUGGAGGGCCACAUCUGCCAGAGCCUGGAGUCUGCGAAGGCCGGGACCCGGUUCCCCGGCCCACAGUGGGGGUGUGCAAACCCGAGAGAACUGGAUUGCGUACCCACUGCAGAGUGCUGAAGACGGGGUAGCCACGAGUCAAGUCUUCACCACUUGCUGGUUCCCAGGAGUAAACUUGUUUGAACGGUGACCUAAUUGCUAUAUUCACCUAGGUUGCAAAUUCGUGAAGAAUCAGCAUCAUGUUUGGCAGCUGAGUAUUGGAGCCAGGAGCCUGCCAUGAGGUUUUGAGAACAGAGUGCUGUUUUAGAGCUGGCAGCAGCAUCUCAGCCCAAGAGAAGGUUAUAUUCCCAGAGGAUGUCAGUCCCAAGGACCAGUAGCUGCCAUCAGUUUGGAUUCUGAAAACUAACUGGCAUCAACACUGGGUGUAGAAACAUGCUUGCCUUAUGUAUCAGAGGACAUGCUCAGCAGAUCCAAGAGAUAUAUUUGGCAACUUUUUCUAGAAAAGGCACAUUGGGUAUCAUUCAUUACAUUCUUGAGUUUUUUUGGGUUUUUUUUUUUUUUUUUGAGACAGUCUUGCUGUAUUGCC
ensembl:lncRNA SNHG29 small nucleolar RNA host gene 29